GCCAUUUGGGACAGGCACUAUAAAGCCAACCCAAUUCCCUUAGCUCGGGUCCUUUUCCAGCAUACCCAGAAGCUACAGAGAUGGAGAGAGAGGAACAGAACAAACAAACAAUGCGCUCAUCCACAACAUUGAUAAGUAUAAUAAUUAUUGUAUCUCUCAAAUAUGAACAUCGACAAGUGUGAAAUGCAUGCACCAAGACAGAAGUUAAAUUGUGUGUCGACCCACAUUGUUAACUUAUGAUAUAAUGGCGCAGGGAGGAGUGAUGAAUAUGUGUGUGCGUUAAAGAACCAAAUGCUGCCCGCGGCCAGUGACGGACUUCUACGUCACACCUCUGCGAUUCAAUCCAGCAACCUUUCAGUUACUGACCUAACACUCCUACCAAAGCAUGUAUUAAUCAACAUCCACAUCUUCGGUGCCCGGGGAACAGUGGCUUAACUGCCAUAACCCCAAAACUAAUGACUCAUUAGCCAGCCCUACUCUGUUGUUUAUGAUUUUGUUUUCAUGGGGGACUGAUUGGGCUCAUUGAUUCGAGUUGAAAAAUAAAUGCUGCGCUCAUGGAAUAGACCUACACUUUGAUACCUUGAUAAUAUGCAGCUGUUUGAAGGGCAAAUCCACAGAGGAAAUAAUAACAAACCGUGGCCCCGCCUCUGUUUUGGUAAAAAGCUGAGGGAUGGGCCUGGAGAAAUAUAACCACACUCAGUGUCACACCCUGAUCUGUUUCACCUCUCUUUGUGCUUGUCUCCACCCCUCCAGGUGUCGCCCAUCUUCCUCAUUAUCCCCAGUGUAUUUAUACCUGUGUUCUCUGUCUGUUGCCAGUUCGUUUUGUUUCGUCAAGCCUCUCGGCUGUUUUUCCCCGUGCGCCUUUCUGUUGGUAGUUCCUGUUUUCUAGCUUUCCUGGUAUUUGACCAUUCUGCCUGCCCUGAGCCUGCCUGUCGAAACUUGAAGCUGUUUACAAAUAACAGCUAUUCUGUCUUGCCAAUGCACAGAAAAAACUGCGAACUGUAUAUUAUCCAUGUUGUCGUUCAGCCACGACUCGGUGAAACAUAAGACAUUACAGUUAAUGUCCCAUUGGUAAGAUAGUCUUGAAUAGAGCUCAUCCAGUUUAUUCUUCAAUGUUUGCACGUCGGCCAAUAGGACGGAUGGUAGAGGCGGGUUACCCACUCGUCGACGAAUUCUAUCAAGACAACCGGACCUAUGUCCCCUGUAUUGGCAUAUUUUCUACAUGCGAAUUAAAGGGACUUGGCCCUGGUCCGGUAUCUGGAGUAAAUUCUUCGCGUCCGAGAAAAAAAUCUUCAUCCAGUUCGAGGUGAGUAAUCGCUGUUCUGAUAUCCAGAAGCACUUUUCAGUCAUAAGAGAUGGUGACAGAAACAUUAUGUAUAAAAUAAGUUACAAUCAACGUGAAAAACAAACAAAACAGCACAUUUGGCUAAAAUGGCAGCCAUGUCCUCCAGCGCCAUUACUAAUCACUAAUUACUGAUAUGUAUUUAUUUGAUUUUUUUUACCCCCUUUUUCUCCCCAAUUGUUUGUAGUUACUAUCUUGUCUCAUCGCCACAGCUCCCGUAUAGGCUCAGGAGAGACAAAGGUUGAAAGUCAUGUGUCCUCCGAAAACACACUCAUGCCACACUGCUUCUUAACACAGUGCGCAUCCAACCCAGGAGCCAGACACACCAAUGUGUCAGAGGAAACACAGUGCACCUGGCGACCUAGUUAGCGUGCACUGUGCCCGGCCCGCCACAGGAGUCACUAGUGCACGAUGAGACAAGGAUAUCCCUACCGGCCAAACCCUCCCUAACCUGGACAACGCUAGGCCAAUUGUGCGUCGCCUCAUGGACCUCCCGGUCGCGGCCGGCUGCAACAGAGCCUGGGCUCGAACCCAGAGUCUCUGGUGGCACUGCGAUGCCACCAGAGACUCCCGCCACCCGGGAGGCCCUUGAUAUGUAUUUCUAAUCUCUUCUGUUAUUAAAGGUUUGAUCUGUGACAGUGUAAACAAAGUAGUUCCAAUGAUCAACUAUGUGUAGUAUGGUGUGUACGUGUAUUAAUAGUAUAAUCAACUGGCCUGGACAGGAACCUGAUCUGUUUGCUCUCUGUUCCCAUAUCGAGUCAUUAUGUACAGAUCAAAGGCUUUGUGCUGUCUGGGUCUGAGGGGCACCGUCCAAAGCCAGACUACUGAGGCCUGAAUAAAGUAAUGAAUGUCAUCCUGGUUUGAUAACCAUAACUAUGUGUCCAGGAGAAAAUAACGUCUGCCUGCUUAUUGGAUGUCGGGACAACAUUAUAUAGGCCGGGCCAGGGGCACCUGGUGGAACUAUGGCUGAGAUUACUAUAGAAACUGUAUGUUCGGUGAAAACAUGAAAGAGCUCAAUUCUCUGAGGGAUUGUCAGAUUGAGUCAGAAUAAAUAUAGAAUCCGUGUGGCAGGGCUAUCUGUGUUAGACAUGCUGGACAAAACAAUUUGAUUUUUAGGUUACUCCAUUUGGAAACCAGCAGUGGUGGCUGGAGUAAAAAUGUCUUCACAGUUUUAGAAUUUGCUGUAGGCCAGGCCUGUGUUGAUUAUGACACUGUUAUGCUUGGCGAAGGAGUGUAAUGGGAGUUGCACGUAAAACUUGACAGUAUUUGGCUUUAGCCAUCCAGCUGUCCCAAUGUCAUCCUCCUAUCAUGCCUGGCUGCUUAGGUGGCCUAUUUGGCGAGCUGAUUACUAAGUGUUUGAGUAGACAAGAUAAUUACAGUUCUGCUAUUGUCAGAAUUCUACAAAAUGUCAUAUACUGUGGCUAAGAAUGAAUAAAUGCUCACUAUGUCCUUGGUCACCUGUGUGAAUUUUAAGCAUGUGUCAGAAACUCGAGACAGUGUUUAGAGUAAUUAACCUUGCUCCUGUGGAAAGAGCAUAAAUAUUCUGAAGCAUUCCACUCUAUUGUUUACAGUUGACUUGACUAUUUUCUUACUUUACUUUCAACUGACCUCCAUAGCUAGCCCCCUCCCCAGGGACACUGGUUUGUGUGGGUGUGUUAACUUAAACCCUCCCUAACCUGAAUUAUAUUGCUGUCUCAGGGUCUCGAUCCUGACGUCAGCGACCUGGCUUUUCAGAGACUAGUCAGAGAGCUGUGAAAAGCUCUACUAAGAGCUACAGUGUCUUUUUGAUGACAGAUUGAAUGUCCGGGCCGAGGAUAUCCAAAAACAACAGUUGGCUGAGCUGAGGUGCUGAAUGGAUUUAGCCUGGCAGAGUCAGACAGGCUGGUAUGUUGGAGAUUAAGGGAGAUCUGUUGCAGUUAACAAUAUUUCCUUGGCAUCAUUAACUAGCUCAUUGGGAAACAUGAAAUUCCAAAUAGCCUAUUUCAUAUUCAACCUUGAAUUCAGAUGCAGCAAUUUAUAAUUUUUUACGAAUCGGUUUAGGCAGAAAGCAAUGACAUAAAUUGUACUAUUGUGACCUGGCUGCCUUGUUGCUCAACCUGAUCUCAGAGCAUUUCCUAUUAUUCUGUACAAAAAUCUGAGACACUCUAUAUAGUAUGUUACAAAUGAAAAUUCCUAUUAUAUAUGUUAUGAAUUGUAGCUAGAUGGCAAAUGUUAGCUAGCUUGCUAAUGUUAGCUAGGCUAGGGGUUAGGGUUAAGGUUAGGGUUAAGUUUAGGAGUUAGGGUAAAGGGUUAAAGUUAGGGUUAGGGUAAGUGUUAGCUAAAAGGGUUAAGGUUAGGGGAAGGGGUAGCUAACAUGCUAAGUAGUUGCAAAAUAGCAAAAAAGUAGUAAGUAGUUGAAAAAUGGCUAAUUAGUUCAAAUUGUCCAUGAUAAGAUUGGAACUUGCAACCUUUCGGUUGCUAGAAAUUCGUGUUAUACGCUAAUCCAUCAACCCAGACCAAACAUUUGCCUUUUGUUUGUGCCUUAAAAGUAACCAUCUGCUUCCCGGGUGGCACAGUGGGCUAGGGCACUGCAUCGCAGUGCUAGCUGUGCCACCAGAGACUUUGGGUUCACGCCCAGGCUCUGUUGCAGCCGGCCGUGACCGGGAGGUCUGUGGGGCGACGAACAAUUGGC
ensembl:lncRNA